UACGUAGGGUGCAAGCGUUAAUCGGAAUUACUGGGCGUAAAGCGUGCGCAGGCGGUUGUGCAAGACAGAGGUGAAAUCCCCGGGCUUAACCUGGGAAUGGACUUUGUGACUGCACGGCUAGAGUGUGUCAGAGGGGGGUAGAAUUCCACGUGUAGCAGUGAAAUGCGUAGAGAUGUGGAGGAAUACCGAUGGCGAAGGCAGCCCCCUGGGAUAACACUGACGCUCAUGCACGAAAGCGUGGGGAGCAAACAGG
rnacentral:rRNA from 1 species